rnacentral:rRNA from 1 species
AGAGUUUGAUUCUGGCUCAGAUUGAACGCUGGCGGCAUGCUUUACACAUGCAAGUCGAACGGCAGCGGGGGUUUAAGCUUGCUUAGACCUGCCGGCGAGUGGCGAACGGGUGAGUACAACAUCGGAACGUGUCCGUUUGUGGGGGACAACUGCUCGAAAGGGUAGCUAAUACCGCAUAAGACCUGAGGGUGAAAGUGGGGGAUCGCAAGACCUCACGCGAACGGAGCGGCCGAUGACUGAUUAGGUAGUUGGUGAGGUAAAGGCCCACCAAGCCGACGAUCAGUAGCUGGUCUGAGAGGACGACCAGCCACACUGGAACUGAGACACGGUCCAG